CAGCUCCCAUCUCAGGAGGGCAAAGAAAAUUCCAAUGCCCCAGCCGUCUCCCCCUUCCGGAUUCAAGACCUCUUCUUCCGCCCGUGAUGCAGCACCAUCUCCAUGAUCCGCCCAACAUCCCUCGCUGCAAUCAAGCAAUGCAUGAUCCCAUCCUGUGAAGCAGCCAAGACCCCAUCCCGUACUCAUCUUCUGCUUCAUCAACGC
rnacentral:lncRNA from 1 species